AUGGCAGCUGAUGAUAAACAGCCUACACAGAUGGCUGCAGGUUAGGAAGAUGACAAAGUGACAGAAUAACUAAAAACUGAAACAUGAGUUGCAAAUGGGAGCCAGUCAGAAAGUUUAGUCACUGUUUCAUCCCUCAUUUGAACCCAGUAACACUUGUAACACUUUGGAAAACUUUCAGUGCAGAAAUGUUGAGUUUUGUGAUACACCACCUACCUCUCCUGACACAAAGUCAUAUAUAUUAAACAAGAGGAAACAGAUCAGGGCAUGUCAUUGCCUCAAAGGGAGCUUAGAGGAAGGUCAAAUCAAAAACCUACCAAGAACCUCACUGUCAGAGUGAACAGACUAAGACUAACCAAAAUACUUGAAAAGGUAAGUGGAAGAACAAAGAGAUCAAGAGGGAAAUUGAGAAGGAAAACUGAAAGAGAAAUGCUGUAUAUCAAAAGAAACAAGAACAAUUGACAAAAAGAAUGUAAGAACAAAGAAACAGGAAAGGCAGAAUAUAGGGCAGCUGAAAGACAUAUGAAACAGACAACUGCAUGGAAUCACGCAGAAGGAAAUCUUAUACAAGACAAAGAAGCACUACUGCAGUCAUUCAAUUCUGUCUUUUUGAUGGUUCUCCCUUCACAAAUCAGCUUCCCUUUGGAAGCUCCUUAAGAAGCAGCACAGCAGUUUGAGGCACAGAUAGGAAGACUGACUAUAUCCAAGGUAUGCUCAUCCCGUGGGGACACUGGAUCCCUGUUGGGAACAAUACUUUAUCCAUUUCUAGUCAUCUGGAUAUUGACUAGCACUUCCUUAUUUAGUAAUGCUCCUCCCACACAGGCUUCUUUGAGAAUAAAAUCAUCAGAAAACUCAAAUUGUGCACCAUCUACCAACUCAGAAAAAAAUAGAACCAGCCAGAAAAAGAGUGCUGGAAAAGCAUGAAGACAUCAAACAGGAAGGGAAGAUAGACUGAAGAUUCAAGAGGAUGGUAAAGAUGAAAAUACGUGGAAUGCAAAUUCUACUCAG
rnacentral:lncRNA from 10 species